rnacentral:rRNA from 1 species
UCCAGACUCCUACGGGAGGCAGCAGUGAGGAAUAUUGGUCAAUGGGCGGGAGCCUGAACCAGCCAAGCCGCGUGAAGGAAGAAGGCGCCAAGCGUCGUAAACUUCUUUUGUCGGGGAACAGAGGGCGCCACGUGUGACGUUGUGAGUGUACCCGAAGAAAAAGCAUCGGCUAACUACGUGCCAGCAGCCGCGGUCAUACGUAGGAUCCGAGCAUUAUCCGGAGUGACUGGGUGUAAAGAGUUGCGUAGGUGGCAUAAUAAGUAGCUAGUGAAAUCUGGUGGCUCAACCAUUCAGACUAUUAGCUAAACUGUUAAGCUCGAGACCGUUAGGGGUAACUGGAAUUUCUAGUGUAGGAGUGAAAUCCGUAGAUAUUAGAAGGAACACCAAUAGCGUAGGCAGGUUACUGGGACGGUUCUGACACUAAGGCACGAAAGCGUAGGGAGCAAACGGGAUUAGAUACCCCCGUAAC